rnacentral:lncRNA from 1 species
GGGGUGUGGAAAUGCUAUGCCCGACUCGCCCGACUCGUACAUUUUAACACCCGGACAAGUGAUUAUUUUUGUCUUGGUUGCCCGUGGACAAGUAAAAUAAUAUACAAGACAAAUUUCAAAUUCAACAAAAAUAUAGGAUUAAUUUCAAAACGUAUAAUGAUGUUUAAUUUAUGUAAAAGAAACCAAUAAUCAGCGAGUAAAACAUAUAUUUAAGUUUAAACAUCAAUGUUCAUGACGAUAAAUAUUACAUAACUCCGGAAAUAGAUUGCUUAUACCAAAAUGAGUAAAAAUAAGUAUGCCAACCCGAGUCGCGUAAUAUUGCAUUGGCUUUGUCCAUUGACCCGGGAUCGCCGAUUAUGUUUUAUCCACUAUUCACCGGAAGUGUCAUUAGUUUAAGAUUUUGAAUGGAGAUUCAAAUUGAUGAAUACUUUUAAAAUAAAACAUCGGGCAAGCAAGACAAAAAUAAUGACGAGUCAAGUCGAAAGCAUGAAACGCAAACGGAGAUGGUCACAGUGUAUAUAAAAAAAAGAAAAAAAAAGACGGAAGCGAGAAUAUCAGACAUCGUGAAUAUCAGAUUACCCCUUGGAAAGAAAUUCAGAUAAUAAGUUUUGUUUUUGUCUUAUUUAUAGAACAACGGCAACCUUAUGUGUUGUCUAAGUGGUAAAUAGAAGUGUUCAAUGACCAAGAAAAAAACCAAGUGUGUCAGUUGAUAUAAAUAAUUAGUUCGUUUCCAUUUCUUCACUGUCCUCUAAAUUUAGUAUAUGUAGUCAGAGACAGAUAUCUCUGAUGUAGUGUACCAACUGGCUACAAUUUUUAUUAAAAAACAAAGCUGCAAACUUGUCCUUUACGUGUCAUUUUAUUUAGUUGGUUUGCUUUUGAAUUUCUGUCCCAUUGAUGUUAUAAACCAAUUUCCAACAUUCCUUAGUUUUUACACAUAUAAACCAAUUGAUUUCACUGAUUUGUCUGGGAUGCAAAACAGUAUUAAGAAUCAUAUAUUAGCUAACAAUAAAAUACAAUAUUUAUUGGGACCGUCAGGGCAAGUAACUUUUUUUCCGGACAAGUAAAAUUUACAGUUUUACUUGCCCAGGGACAAGUGCUCACAACAAAUAUUUCCACACC